rnacentral:rRNA from 1 species
UACGUAGGGGGCAAGCGUUGUUCGGAAUUACUGGGCGUAAAGGGUUUGUAGGUGGCCUGCUAAGUCAGACGUGAAAUCCCUCAGCUUAACUGGGGAACUGCGUCUGAUACUGGCGGGCUUGAGGACAGGAGAGGAACGCGGAAUUCCAGGUGUAGCGGUGAAAUGCGUAGAUAUCUGGAGGAACACCGGUGGCGAAGGCGGCGUUCUGGACUGUUUCUGACACUGAAAAACGAAAGCCAGGGGAGCAAACGGG